rnacentral:rRNA from 1 species
CCCGCCGGCGACCGGCGCACGGGUGAGUAACACGUAUGGAACCUGCCCGCAGCAGGGGGAUAAGCGGAAGAAAUUCCGUCUAAUACCGCGUAACACCGCAGAGGGGCAUCCCUCGGCGGUUAAAGAUUCAUCGGCUGCGGAUGGCCAUGCGGCGCAUUAGCUAGACGGCGGGGUAACGGCCCACCGUGGCGACGAUGCGUAGGGGUUCUGAGGGGAAGGUCCCCCACACUGGUACUGAGACACGGACCAGACUCCUACGGAAGGCAGCAG